CCUACGGGAGGCUGCAGUGGGGAAUAUUGGACAAUGGGGGCAACCCUGAUCCAGCCAUGCCGCGUGUGUGAAGAAGGCCCUCGGGUUGUAAAGCACUUUCAGUGAGGAAGAACGCCUGGUGGUUAAUACCCAUCAGGAAAGACAUCACUCACAGAAGAAGCACCGGCUAACUCCGUGCCAGCAGCCGCGGUAAUACGGAGGGUGCGAGCGUUAAUCGGAAUUACUGGGCGUAAAGCGCGCGUAGGUGGCUUGAUAAGCCGGUUGUGAAAGCCCCGGGCUCAACCUGGGAACGGCAUCCGGAGCUGUCAAGCUAGAGUGCAGGAGAGGAAGGUAGAAUUCCCGGUGUAGCGGUUAAAUGCGUAGAGAUCGGGAGGAAUACCAGUGGCGAAGGCGGCCUGCUGGACUGACACUGACACUGAGGUGCGAAAGCGUGGGUAGCAAACAGGAUUAGAUACCCGUGUAGUC
rnacentral:rRNA from 1 species